rnacentral:rRNA from 1 species
UGGGGAAUAUUGGACAAUGGGGGCAACCCUGAUCCAGCCAUGCCGCGUGAGUGAUGAAGGCCUUCGGGUUGUAAAGCUCUUUUGGCGGGGACGAUGAUGACGGUACCCGCAGGAUAAGCCCCGGCUAACUUCGUGACAGCAGCCGCGGUAAGACGAAGGGGGCUAGCGUUGUUCGGAAUUACUGGGCGUAAAGCGCGUGUAGGCGGUUGUCCAAGUCGGGUGUGAAAGCCUUGAGCUCAACUCAAGAAAUGCACUCGAUACUGGGCGACUAGAGGACCGGAGAGGAUAGUGGAAUUCCCAGUGUAGUGGUGAAAUACGUAGAGAUUAGGAAGAACACCAGUGGCGAAGGCGGCUAUCUGGACGGUUACUGACGCUAAGACGCGAAAGCGUGGGGAGCAAACA